AGUGAACGCUGGCGGUAGGCCUAACACAUGCAAGUCGAACGGCAGCACAGUAAGAGCUUGCUCUUACGGGUGGCGAGUGGCGGACGGGUGAGGAAUACAUCGGAAUCUACUUUUUCGUGGGGGAUAACGUAGGGAAACUUACGCUAAUACCGCAUACGACCUACGGGUGAAAGCAGGGGAUCUUCGGACCUUGCGCGAUUGAAUGAGCCGAUGUCGGAUUAGCUAGUUGGCGGGGUAAAGGCCCACCAAGGCGACGAUCCGUAGCUGGUCCGAGAGGAUGAUCGGCCACACUGGAACUGAGACACGGUCCAGACUCCUACGGGAGGCAGCAGUGGGGAAUAUUGGACAAUGGGCGCAAGCCUGAUCCAGCCAUACCGCGUGGGUGAAGAAGGCCUUCGGGUUGUAAAGCCCUUUUGUUGGGAAAGAAAAGCAGCAGGUUAAUACCCCGCUGUUCUGACGGUACCCAAAGAAUAAGCACCGGCUAACUUCGUG
rnacentral:rRNA from 1 species